AGCGAACGCUGGCGGCAGGCUUAACACAUGCAAGUCGAACGCCCCGCAAGGGGAGUGGCAGACGGGUGAGUAACACGUGGGAACGUACCCUUUGGUUCGGAAUAACUUGGGGAAACUCAAGCUAAUACCGGAUAAGCCCUUAUGGGGAAAGGUUUACUGCCGAAGGAUCGGCCCGCGUCUGAUUAGCUAGUUGGUGAGGUAACGGCUCACCAAGGCGACGAUCAGUAGCUGGUCUGAGAGGAUGAUCAGCCACACUGGGACUGAGACGCGGCCCAGACUCCUACGGGAGGCAGCAGUGGGGAAUAUUGGACAAUGGGGGCAACCCUGAUCCAGCCAUGCCGCGUGAGUGGUGAAGGCCUUAGGGUUGUAAAGCUCUUUUACCCGGGACGAUAAUGACUGUACCGGGAGAAUAAGCCCCGGCUAACUUCGUGCCAGCCGCCGCAGUAA
rnacentral:rRNA from 1 species